AGUGAACGCUGGCGGUAGGCCUAACACAUGCAAGUCGAACGGCAGCACAGUAAGAGCUUGCUCUUACGGGUGGCGAGUGGCGGACGGGUGAGGAAUACAUCGGAAUCUACUUUUUCGUGGGGGAUAACGGAGGGAAACUUACGCUAAUACCGCAUACGACCUACGGGUUAAAGCAGGGGAUCUUCGGACCUUGCGUGAUUGAAUGAGCCGAUGUCGGAUUAGCUAGUUGGCUGGGUAAAGGCCCACCAAGGCGACGAUCCGUAGCUGGUCUGAGAGGAUGAUCAGCCACACUGGAACUGAGACACGGUCCAGACUCCUACGGGAGGCAGCAGUGGGGAAUAUUGGACAAUGGGCGCAAGCCUGACCCAGCCACACCGCGUGGGUGAAGAAGGCCUUCGGAUUGUAAAGCCCUUUUAUUAGGAAAGAAAAGCAGCAGGUUAAUACCCCGCUGUUCUGACGGUACCCAAAGAAUAAGCACCGGCUAACUUCGUG
rnacentral:rRNA from 1 species